rnacentral:rRNA from 1 species
UACGAAGGGGGCUAGCGUUGUUCGGAAUUACUGGGCGUAAAGCGCACGUAGGCGGAUAUUUAAGUCGGGGGUGAAAUCCCGGGGCUCAACCCCGGAACUGCCUUCGAUACUGGGUAUCUUGAGUCCGGAAGAGGAGAGUGGAAUUCCUGGUGUAGCGGUGAAAUGCGCAGAUAUCAGGAAGAACACCAAUGCGAAGGCAGCUCUCUGGGACGGUACUGACGCUGAGACGCGAAAGCGUGGGGGAGCGAACAGG